rnacentral:lncRNA from 1 species
UUUGCAGGAUCAGGGCCAUAUAAAAUAGUCCAUGUGAGAAUUCAAAACAUGACACGGUGCGUUCCAAAGCUUUCACUUACAGGUCUCACUGAGGAAGAAAGACACAGAGGACGUGUAGAUGUUCCUCAACCCCUACAUGAGUUCUAGUGUCCAGCUAGAGUUUCUGGACACUUAUUAUACUUUUUAUUUAAAUUGUCACUUAUUUUCACUUGUUCCUGAUCCCAAGGACAGGACUUGGCCACCUCAGUAUCAGUAGUGGCUCUGAAACAGAUGCAAUCCUGGAGUGUCUAAUGUAUAGACAUUCGUGGCCACAAGCGUGGCUCGGAACUGAACACGCUCUACCUGUGGACUGGGAUGGUGACCGACAGCAUCCUGCUGCUGAGCGGCCGGUCCCUGGGGGACAGUUCUCAGGUCUAAACUGGUGGUGGGAAACACUGAAGAAAAGAUGUAAAGCCCAGAGCCCAGAAGGAAGCUCCCCCGCCGCCAUCCCAAGCUCCUAGGGCAAAGAAGCUUAGCUGGUUCCAGCACCGGGAAGGAAGCUCCCCCACCGCCAGUCCUAUGCAAUCAUCUACAUAUAAAGAUUUUGCUUCUACCUUGCCAAUCCUAUCCUAAUUGUGUCAUUUUAUUGCCAGACUAUUUUGGUGGGGCCUAGGUUUCAAAGUUUAAUGGACCAAUAAAGAGUAAGCAUAUCUACCCUUGUUCCGCACCUUAAGGAGAAAGCGUUGUGUCUUCUCCAUUCAUAUAAGGCAUUCUCACUGGAAGUAUGGAGUACAUGUCUUUAAUCUGUUGAGAAGGUUCUGUUCUACUUCUAGUCUCCUGAUAGCUUUUACAUGAACAGGUGUAGAAUUUAGUCCAAUACUUUUUCUCCAACUAGUGACAGGAUCAUAUGGCUUUUUCCUUUCCUCUGUUAAAAUGAUGACUUUUGGGGGUGGAUCUUCCAAUGCUAAACCAACACUGCCAUCCCUAUAA